CCGUGCUAGGCGGGGAGUCAGCGGUGCCCUGUCGCUCGUAAUCCGCUAUAGCGAGGCCGAAUCCCCUCUCGAGGGGCGCGGCCUUCGGGGUCAGCCCGCGUGUGGUGGUGCUGAUGGCCCGGGUCCCGCGCGAUGUCGGCCCGUGAAUCAGGUCAGGUCCGGAAGGAAGCAGCCUUAAGCGGCCACCGAUAUGCGCAGCGGGAGUGCCCGAGCCGGAGCCAUCGCAGGCGCAAGCGCCCGGGGGCAGCGCCUCGGAGGAGGGUGCACGG
rnacentral:SRP_RNA from 1 species